UCCUCGGAGGUUCUGAGCACUGCCCGAGGAGCCCAAGAGUUCUUGUCAGUCAUCUGGGUAUAUGUAUAUUCUAUGUUAUGUCACGGUCAAAAACGAGAAUUGAAGUGCUAACUUGGUUUACAUUUUAGUACUUAAAAGUACCACUGGUGCUCUUAGUCCUGGUUUACAAAAACUGCUGCAUCCCUGAGAAAGCAUGGUUGGGGAUACACUGCUGUCUUUAAUCUGUUAUGCAGACUUUCUGUCCUUUCAAAGUUCACAGAAAUAGUUGUUCAAAAAGAAUUAACACAAAUAAUUCAGCAGCAUUUAACGAUUCCUCAACAGGCUGAGAAAUCAGGGGUUUUUAUUUGUUUUUUUACUACUAUUUAUUUUUCGCUGUUCUAUACGUGACAGUUAGUAGGAUAUUUUGCUAUUUCUGUCUAAGUUUGAACAUAACCAUAAACAGUCAAACAGGUUGAGCUGGAUGAAAAGCAUGAAGCUGCCCCAAACUCGAGCAGUUCACAGCAUGCAGAUACCUGAUCAAUCAGGACAAGGUGAAGAGCUGCAGGCCACGUGUGCAAAAGUUAACUUUUACAGCUGAAUCUCUCCACUGGCCGAUUACUCACAGGUGGACGACACUGACCUCACCUUGACUCUGCAGCUGUCAGCAAACUUCACAUUACAAUUGUGAUUCCAGUGCCUUCCUGUCAUGACUCCAGAUGUAGGUUGGUGAGCCAAACUGCAACACUACACGUUUUCUUAAUGCAGCCUUAAUGCCAUUUACACUACAGAUUUAUGGAUAACAAUGGACUGAGCUUACCUGACUGUAGUUCUGAUGGUGUUAUCUUUAUUGUGAUUGUGCUCUUUGCUCACCUUUUCUGUGGAGGAAUGUACAUUUUUUUGUGAUUAUAGGAUAUAUCAUAUUUUCCCUAUCAAAUUUUAUUCAGCAGAACUAUUUUAAUGCUUUCUGAUAACAGCAUAAUCCAGAAUAAUUUAAGGGGAAAUGGUUACAAUAUGAUUGCAGAAUAAGCACAGCUUUUUGCAUGUAAUAGCUGAGGUUCACCUUCCAUGUGGAGAGCAAUGGACAGCACAACUUCAGGAGCACUGUCUCUUGCAGACACUGUCCAUUUAUGACAGUAACUACCUACGUGUUCUCCUAUAUUCCACACCACAAUUACUUAAUUAGGUUACAAUUUUUCAGAGCACUCAAAGCAGGAAUCU
rnacentral:lncRNA from 1 species